rnacentral:rRNA from 1 species
AGUGAACGCUGGCGGUAGGCCUAACACAUGCAAGUCGAACGGCAGCACAGUAAGAGCUUGCUCUUACGGGUGGCGAGUGGCGGACGGGUGAGGAAUACAUCGGAAUCUACUUUUUCGUGGGGGAUAACGUAGGGAAACUUACGCUAAUACCGCAUACGACCUACGGGUGAAAGCAGGGGAUCUUCGGACCUUGCGCGAUUGACUGAGCCGAUGUCGGAUUAGCUAGUUGGCGGGGUAAAGGCCCACCAAGGCGACGAUCCGUAGCUGGUCUGAGAGGAUGAUCAGCCACACUGGAACUGAGACACGGUCCAGACUCCUACGGGAGGCAGCAGUGGGGAAUAUUGGACAAUGGGCGCAAGCCUGAUCCAGCCAUACCGCGUGGGUGAAGAAGGCCUUCGGUUUGUAAAGCCCUUUUGUUGGGAAAGAAAAGCAGCAGGUUAAUACCCCGCUGUUCUGACGGUACCCAAAGAAUAAGCACCGGCUAACUUCGUG